GUGCUGCCUGGCGCUGGCUAGGAGGCAAACGCACGCGGGAAGAGCUGCUACCCAUUCCAGGGACCCUGCCGCUGCCCCUCUGAGGGGUCUGCACCUCCUGGGAGCAGGUGGGUCUCUGGGACGAGGGUCCAUGGUGGAUGGCUCUGGAGACGCUCCCGAGGCUGUGCCGUCCCGCUGCUGCACAGGUCGGAGGGUCACCGCAGAGGCUACUCGGGCUGGGGCUGGGGCCGAGGGAGCCCGCACUGGAGUCACUUAAUAUUACAGGGUCUCGCUCUGUUGCCCAGUGGCCUGACCAUGGCUCACUGCAGCCUCCAACUACUGGCCUCAAGUGAUCCUCUUGCCUUGGCCUCCUGAAGUCCUGGAAUUACAGGCGUGAGCCACUGCACCGGGCCCAUUUAAUACUCUGAGCCCCACCUUUCCCAUCUGUGGAUGGAGGUAAUGAUAAUAGCAUCUUUGGGGUGUGGCUGUGAAGAUAGAUAGAUGAGCAUGCAAAGCUCCAAGUGCCUGCUGAAUUGUAAGUGAAAUAAGAACGUGUGCCGCUGAAGGCUGUCCCUGGAGGCAGGGACACUCUGGCCAGGCCUC
rnacentral:lncRNA from 1 species